AUUGCCUACGGGGCGCAGCAGUGGGGGAUAUUGCACAAUGGGGGAAACCCUGAUGCAGCGACGCCGCGUGGGUGAAGAAGUCAUUCGUGACGUAAAGCCCUAUCAGCAGGGAAGAAAAUGACGGUACCUGACUAAGAAGCCCCGGCUAACUACGUGCCAGCAGCCGCGGUAAUACGUAGGGGGCAAGCGUUAUCCGGAUUUACUGGGUGUAAAGGGAGCGCAGGCGGCACGGCAAGCCUGAUGUGAAAGCCCGCGGCCCAACCGCGGGACUGCAUUGGGAACUACCGGGCUGGAGUGCCGGCGGG
rnacentral:rRNA from 1 species